rnacentral:tRNA from 2 species
GCGGGUAUGGUUCAGUGGUAGAACGCCAGCUUGCCAAGUUGGAAACGGCGGUCCGAUUCCGCCUACCCGCA